rnacentral:rRNA from 1 species
AACCAGAGGAUUAAGUUGUAUACUAUGGUAAAAAGACAGUUAGACAAAGUUUAUAAGGUUGAUUUGAUUGUACUAUCAGGAGGUAGAAUUCGAAAAUAGACAAAUAUAUAAAUUAAGACCAAUGUGUUGAAGCUGUGAUAACUUUGAGGGAAACUAGGAUUAGAUACCCUAUUAUUCAUUGAGAUAAAUAAGAAGUUUUCUACCAGAGUACUAAGAAUAAAAAAUUUAAAACUCAAAGGGCUUGGCGGUGUUUUAGACUACUUAGGGGAACCUGUCUCAUAAUCGACAAUCCACGUUAUACCUAACCUUUUUUUGCGCUCAGUUUGUAUACCAUCGUCGCCAGGUAACUUUUAAGAUAUUAACAGUUAGCUAGCUAAAUAAUUUACUUAAAACGUCAGAUCAUGGUGCAGCUAAUAAUGAGGUGUAGAUGGGUUACAAUUACCUUAACUUGUAAUACGGAUAACGACUUUAAAAUCAGUUGAAAGGAGGACUUAAAAGUAAAAUAAAUUAUAUAGAUGUAUUGAAUAAAGCUCUGAAGCGUGC